UCUGUGAUGGCCAAGUGGUGAAGGCAUUGGACUCGUAAUCCAAUGGGCUUUUCCCGCGCAGGUUUGAAUCCUGCUCACAGCG